rnacentral:tRNA from 1 species
GCGCCUGUAGCUCAACUGGAUAGAGCGCAUCGCUUCGGACGAUGAGGUUUUGGGGGUUCAAAUCCCUCCAGGCGCG